CCUCACAAGAAAAUUAUCAUAUCUGGGAGUAUGUGGUAUCUAAAAGAUUGACAAUCCCUGCUCAGUAUUUCUAGUAGUAUUUAAUUUUCUGUCGGUUGAACAGCAAUGCCCGACCCGUGAAUGAUUCGCUCAUUUGAGUCGGUUCUAUUCAAUGAAUCGUUAAGCUAGUUAGCAAAACGGACGGUCUAAAAUCGGUUCGUGAUUAAGUCUGAGUCAUUUGGACAGUUCACGGACGCAUUUACUUUUUAAUGCGGUAAAAAAUACAAACACAAAGCACAGAAACACUGGAUAAAUGGAAUAUUUACCUACAAUGCAUUGAAAAGAAGCCUGAAGCUCGUAUACCAGUGAAGAUAAUCUUGAUUAAGAUCAACACCUGCAGCGCCAGCUUGUGAACGACUCAGAUAUAUCAACGUGAGUGGAAGGGAAUCUUCAAAUAGCACCCUGUAUGAAGUACCCGAAUCACAAGGCAUCACAUGAGAUCAAGUGACGAUUUCGGUGUCAUCUCUCCACUCGGAUUUCGGUGAUGAAUACUUUGUAAACAAGUCCCAGUUCGGCGCUGGAUUUGCAGAUCGCGGGUGGUGAGUAAAGCUGCAUCAGAUGUCUGGGUUUUGUUGGCAAUCAGUGCGCAAGUGCAUAAAAUGUAAACAACACGAACCCUUCUGUUCCCUUUGUAUUUAUAAUGAUGUCGCAGCUAGCAGACAUCGCAGAAGCUGCGGUCGUGACUCUUUCGCUCUGCCCACAGCACUGACGGCAGAUACGCCUCCAGGAGCUCGGCUUUUUCCGGAAAGACUCGGUUUAGCGUAUCUAUCUUUUCGACUUUUCGGAGAUAUGAUGGAUGCAUUGUUACUCUAUAUGUACUCAAGAUUAACAUGAGAUUGGC